GUCCGGUUCUACGGAACCUGGACAUAUCUAAAAAUUGGAACAAUACAGAGAAGAUUAGCAUGGCCACCUGCGCAAGGAUGACACGCUAUAAAAGAAAGCACAACAAUUUUUU
rnacentral:snRNA from 1 species